rnacentral:misc_RNA from 1 species
AGAAUCAGAUGGCCCUUCCAAAACCUAUAAAAUAGAAUGUCAAAUUAGCAUUCAAUAAAAAUUUGUUUAAUCUUGAAUAACAAGGGGUGUUUUCAUGAACAAAGCAUAGUUAUCGAAAUUUUAUCCAUGAAUUGCAAUACAAAAUACAUUGAGCUGAAACCUCAAAAAGAGAACAUAUUUUUCUUCUGCCAGAUCAAGACAGAAGGAGAAAAGGCAGGAAAUGCUAAAAUUCUUCUUCUCAGGGCCAAGGGUUGCUUGAGUACCCAAGAAAUCUGCUAUAGUUUCAGGUUUUUCAUCCAGCAAACACUUUACAAGUAAACAUUUUCUUCCCUUCUCAAGAAGGAAGAUUUCACAAUCCAUUGGCAAUUAAAGCAACAAUAGAAUAAAGAAACCUCCAAGCGCCCAUUAAAUUAUGUAACUUCAUGGACUCAAAUGAAUCUUAGAAAUUAUGAGUCCCUCCCACCCAUUGCCCUCUCAAAAAACAAAAAGCAGCAACAGAAAUAAUAUAGAACAUACGAAGUCCCUUAUCUGCAGAUCG